rnacentral:rRNA from 1 species
GAUGAACGCUGGCGGCGUGCCUAAUACAUGCAAGUCGAGCGAACGGACGAGAAGCUUGCUUCUCUGAUGUUAGCGGCGGACGGGUGAGUGACACGUGGAUAACCUACCUAUAAGACUGGGAUAACUUCGGGAAACCGGGGCUAAUACCGGAUAAUAUUUUGAACCGCAUGGUUCAAAAGUAAAAGACGGUCUUGCUGUCACUUAUAGAUGGAUCCGCGCUGCAUUAGCUAGUUGGUAAGGUAACGGCUUACCAAGGCAACGAUGCAUAGCCGACCUGAGAGGGUGAUCGGCCACACUGGAACGGAGACACGGUCCAGACUCCUACGGGAGGCAGCAGUAGGGAAUCUUCCGCAAUGGGCGAAAGCCUGACGGAGCAACGCCGCGUGAGUGAUGAAGGUCUUCGGAGCGUAAAACUCUGUUAUUAGGGAAGAACAUAUGUGUAAGUAACUGUGCACAUCUUGACGGUACCUAAUCAGAAAGCCACGGCUAACUACGUG